AAAGGGAACUCCUUGACCCCUUGUGCUUCCCAAGCGAGGCAAUGCCUCGCCCUUCUUCGGCUCGCGCACGGUGCGCGCACCCACUGACCUGCGCCCACUGUCUGGCACUCCCUAGAGAAAUGAACCCGGUACCUCAGAUGGAAAUGCAGAAAUCACUGUCUUCUGCGUCGCUCACGCUGGGAGCUGUCGACCGGAGCUGUUCCUAUUCGGCCAUCCUGGCUCCCCAUCAGUGGUGUCUUUCAUUAGAGAAAUAAAACUGUGAGACUGUGAAGUGUAUAAAGGAUUCUACCGCUCUCCCGGGGCUUGGAGACCCACAGAUUGGAGAAAUCUCCAUCUCAAUCUUCUUUGCCACGUCAUGCAUGCCCUUGAAGCAUUAGAAUUCCUUAAAGCUUCAUGGGAGAAUGCCAUGGGAUGAUGAAGACAGAGAUUGGAGUCAUGCAUCUGCAAGCCAAGAAAUGUACAAGAUUGCUGGCAAACCACCAGAAGCUAGGAGCAGACAAGGAAGGAUCCUCCCCUAAAGGUUUCAGAGGGAGCCAUGGCCUUGCUGACAUCUUGAUUUCAGACUUCUAUCCUCCAGAAUGGCCCUAUUCAUCCACUCCAGAAAUUACCUGGACUGCCGUGUUCUGACAUAGCCUGGUUCUCCACCAGUGGUCUCACCUAGUGCCCUUUGGCUCUGUUGGGCCAUCCAUGGAGGGCUGGAUGGUGUCCUCACUCUCCCAUCACACAGCUCUUCUGAUGAUGUUUUUGCUUGUCUUUCUGGAAGUUCGCUCUGAUCCAAAAUUACAUCUGCAAGGGGCAGCUGAAGUCCAUCAGUUCUGUGAAGUCUUCUGGGAGUUGCCUCAGCCUAGAGAUCUCUUCCUCCAUUUCUCCAAAUAUUUCAGUUAGCUCUAAAUGAACAAUUAGCAUCUCCUAAUUGUGCAACUAUUUAAUUUUGGUUUCCUCAACCAAGGAGUUAAUCCCUUUCUGAGGGCAGGUACUGUCAACUUCUUUUGAUUUUUCUACACUGCAUGUGGCCAUCCCAGAUAACUCACUAACAAUAAAUUCUUGAUGACAUGACUCUACAUGGUAAGACGGCACUACUCACUUGCCAAGAGCCAAACAGAUAUUUUGGAAUCAUUUCCCAGAUAGUGAUAAAAAAUGGGCACAGACCAUUUGUAAUCUUUCAUCCCAUCUUCCUUUUGACUAGUGUCAUCCCUGUAAACCAUGAGUGAUCAGGAUUACAUCUCUACAUUCAGCAGGAGUAGAAUAGAAUUUCCAUUUGCACACAAAACUGACUCACUGAGAGCAAUUUAGUGAUCUCAGUAGAUGGGCCUGCUGCAUGGAAAGGCAGCCAACAGAUGGGGAGUGUCCCUAUCUUAGCCAGAGGAGGGGAAAGUAUGGGAUUCAAUCUGUUUCUUUAAAAGCUGAAGGAUAAACUGAAGAUGAUGUUCAUAAAAACUGUAUUUCCAUUGUUAAGGAGAAAAAUAGAUAGGUAAGCUCAGCCCUCUUUUGAUAAAAGUUGAACAGAGAGGUGAAAAAGGGAAUCCAUUUGUUUAUGCACUUAUCCUAAAGAGAACAUUGAAAGUCAAGGGGGUAUGUCCAGUGGUUUGCAAAGUGGUGUCUCCAGGGGACAUUUACAGUCAAUGUCAUCUACAGAAAGUUGCUGUCUUUGCUAUAGUGAAGGGCAAAUCAUCUCCCAAUUGCGCUGCUUUUCAAGAUUCCAUGAGGAGCUCUACUCUUGAAAAUUUCUGAAUCAAAAUAGAAUCUUAAGGAGUCUAAUUCUAAAUACAAACUUCAUGUGUAAGAUUCUCGCCAUGGCUGUAUGGCAGGUUUUUAAAGAAAGUAUGAGAAUGGUGUAUUUUAUCCAAGUGCUUGUUGCUGUUUUGCUCACUGGUGUCCUAAGCACCUAGAAAAGUCCUUGGCAGUUUUUAGGUGCACAAUAAGUAUUUAAUUUUAUUAUUCCUAAAUUAUUGGUUCGAUGAUUGGGUGUAUACAAGUGCAUAUGUGGAUAUGUGCAUUUGAAUGGAGAGAAAGAAAAAGUACAUGCUUACUCUCUGUGCUAUAAUGUCUCAAAUAUUAAAUCAUGACAUAUGAUAAUAAUGGUCAUUUUUAAGUUACAAAGUUCUUUCACCAUUCAUUCAUUCAGUUGUUAUUUAUUGGGUGCCAAAUUAUGUACCAGGCAGUGUGGUGGGAUACCAGGGAUACAGACAUGCGCCUGCCUGUAUAUGUUUACAAAUCUAGGUGGAAAAAAUAGGUAAAUAAAUA
rnacentral:lncRNA from 1 species